CUCAUAUACUUCUUGGAUUCUGUAGUUACCAGAGCUCUGCUUAGCAGGCGGGACAAAGAGAGUUACACUUUAUUACUGAUGACUUCAAAUGCUGGGCCAUGAAAUGGAAAUUUAAUGUAAAUAACUUACAUUUACAGAUAAAUGGAAGGAUUCUGAAAAGUGACAAAGAACAGAGCACUGUUAAUGCUGGUAAUUGAAGGGAAAGUCCUACCCCAGGCCAGGAUGUCGGCGAUACCCCCUCAUGAUCACAAGGUGGCUGCUGUAUCCCCAGGAAUCACAUCUUCAUUGAAUCAUGCUGGAAUACAGGAGUAAAGGAAUCCAAUCGUGUGACGAAGUAAAUGCGCUCCGGGAGUCUCUCUUUGUAAGGAUGGUUGCUUUCUGGUACUUAUGACCAAAACUGCUUCUGAAGAACUUUUCAUCACCUCACUACUCUCCAGAAUUGGAGGGACAAUUUACAAGGACUUUACAGACAUUGUAUGGAUGACACCAGGCUUCAAAUUCCACUCCCUACUUUCAAAACUGCAUUCUUCAAAGUUCUUCCUGCCAUGCUACCAUGACUGCCAAUGGAUUUCUGCCAAUAAUCAGGAAUACCAGUGCUCCCUGGGACAAUGCGAGUGACACCUUCAGACGAUGAAUGCCGUGUGGUGGGUGAGCCCCGGCGAUGGCCCUGCUACUCUGGUGCAGCAUCUUCUCUCGAUCAGCCCUAGAACGUUCCCCAGGCUGAUAACAGACCGCCGUCUCGGGUGGUCUUGGGUGCCUUGCACACUGUGAUGCUGGACACCUGCUUUUGUCCACAUACUUGUGCUUAGUCAUCAACGGACGCUCACUCCUCAGGGUGCUGCAGGGAGAGUGGGAAACACGCAGAACGGGGCCAGGCAGCCCUUGAGCAAAUGGGUUCCUCCCCAUGAGCCUCGUUGUCUGCAUCUGCAAAGUGAGGACAACCGCGACCUUGUAGGACCUUGUAGGACUGCUUGGUAAUCAAGAAGGUAAGAUGUGGGGCCAUGACAGUUGUAGUCACUGCAGAAAUCCUGGGGUGUCCGAGCAAGCACUCUGGAACUACAGAACUCCCUGACGACUAUAGGGUCAUUCUAAUGCGAAUAAGGAGAGUUUCUCCUGGAACACUGUGAUGAUAAUCUACUAUUAAAGCCCCGACUUAUGAUCCCUCCACUAAUUGCUGCCACCAGAAGGCAGUGAUAUAGUUUAUCCUCUUAGGGGAGCCCAGAUCCUCACUCUAAGAAGUUAGAGUUAAUAUUACAGUAAAUUUCACUGUUGACUUUUAUAAGAAUUAAUAUCUCAGAGAGGUGCUCGCAAUAAGCCAGAUGUUGCUGCAGGGGGAGAGGGGGGCCUGACUGUGGCCAAGGCAGCACCGGGUGGUAGGGGGUGCUUGUGGGGCCCCCCGAGAAUGGAGAGGAAUCAGAAGGGGCCAGGAGGACCUCCUACUACCCAAGGAAGAGGAAGCAGCGGAGCUGACAAAGCUGGUGGAAUUAUUGGGAAAAAAAAAAGUGUGGAAUCGGAAAAAGCCAUGAAAAGGCUCAGAGACUCAGGAGCUUCUUAAGGCUUGUGGAAUGUGAACCAGAAUCUAGUGUGCAUGGAGACAAAUGGUGCUUGUACCUGUGUGUCAGGUACCAGGUGCAAAGGGUAACCUGGAGCUAAUAGAGGGUGAUGUGUCCGCAGAGAGGGCAGCGCUGGCCUCAGUGAAAGGGGAGUUUUGUGAGAUGGCC